UACGUAGGUGGCAAGCGUUGUCCGGAUUUACUGGGCGUAAAGGGCUUGUAGGUGGCCAACUAAGUCAGACGUGAAAUCCCUCGGCUUAACCGGGGAACUGCGUCUGAUACUGGAUGGCUUGAGUGUGGGAGAGGGAUGCGGAAUUCCAGGUGUAGCGGUGAAAUGCGCAGAUAUCAGGAGGAACACCGAUGGCGAAGGCAGGUCUCUGGGCCACUACUGACGCUGAGAAGCGAAAGCAUGGGGAGCGAACAGG
rnacentral:rRNA from 1 species